CAAUAAAAGGAUUGCCCUCAAGCUCACAGAAAGAACACUUUGCCUCCCAGCCCUCCCUCAGUCUUCAGCAGUGAUGAUGAGUGGUGCUGUUCUAACGCUUCUUCACUGUAACUGUACAGCCGAGUGAACUGAGGCAAUAAUUAAGCGCACUUACCUGAACUGUUAUUUCUUACUGAAGCAGCUUUGGAAAGUCUGAUUAAUGAUUUUGGGCAGGCCUUUGAUUCAGCGGCUCCAGCUCAUGAUCACUACUUACUGUGCAACCGCAGACUCUAAAUGACAUCAUCUGUGCAAGAUUACAGUGGCCAUACCUGGGACAUUUUGGCUUCAAUUAUCUACAGAGAAAGGAAUUGGAGACGCGUCGUCCAACUUUUUUACAGUCUAUGCUUUCUAACUGGAUGAGUGGCACCAUGGCCGCCACUCAGAAUCAGAUAUUCCAGAAAGCCAUGUAAUAAUAAAUGAUCUCAU
ensembl:lncRNA